GACGGAGGGUGCAACCGUUGUUCGGAAUUACUGGGCGUAAAGCGUGUGUAGGCGGCCUCGCAAGUCGGAUGUGAAAGCCCUGGGCUCAACCCAGGAAGUGCACUCGAUACUGCUUGGCUCGAGUCUCGGAGAGGUUGGUGGAAUUCUCGGUGUAGAGGUGAAAUUCGUAGAUAUCGAGAGGAACACCGGUGGCGAAGGCGGCCAACUGGACGAAGACUGACGCUGAGACACGAAAGCGUGGGGAGCAAACAGG
rnacentral:rRNA from 1 species